GGUUAAGCGACUAAGCGUACACGGUGGAUGCCCUGGCAGUCAGAGGCGAUGAAGGACGUGCUAAUCUGCGAUAAGCGCCGGUAAGGUGAUAUGAACCGUUAUAACCGGCGAUUUCCGAAUGGGGAAACCCAGUGUGACUCGUCACACUAUCAUUAACUGAAUCCAUAGGUUAAUGAGGCGAACCGGGGGAACUGAAACAUCUAAGUACCCCGAGGAAAAGAAAUCAACCGAGAUUCCCCCAGUAGCGGCGAGCGAACGGGGAGGAGCCCAGAGCCUGAAUCAGCAUGUGUGUUAGUGGAAGCGUCUGGAAAGGCGCGCGAUACAGGGUGACAGCCCCGUACACAAAAGCGCAUGUGCUGUGAGCUCGAUGAGUAGGGCGGGACACGUGGUAUCCUGUCUGAAUAUGGGGGGACCAUCCUCCAAGGCUAAAUACUCCUGACUGACCGAUAGUGAACCAGUACCGUGAGGGAAAGGCGAAAAGAACCCCGGCGAGGGGAGUGAAAAAGAACCUGAAACCGUGUACGUACAAGCAGUGGGAGCACCCUUUGGGGUGUGACUGCGUACCUUUUGUAUAAUGGGUCAGCGACUUAUAUUCUGUAGCAAGGUUAACCGAAUAGGGGAGCCGGAGGGAAACCGAGUCUUAAUUGGGCGUUAAGUUGCAGGGUAUAGACCCGAAACCCGGUGAUCUAGCCAUGGGCAGGUUGAAGGUUGGGUAACACUAACUGGAGGACCGAACCGACUAAUGUUGAAAAAUUAGCGGAUGACCUGUGGCUGGGGGUGAAAGGCCAAUCAAACCGGGAGAUAGCUGGUUCUCCCCGAAAGCUAUUUAGGUAGCGCCUCGUGAAUUCAUCUCCGGGGGUAGAGCACUGUUUCGGCUAGGGGGCCAUCCCGGCUUACCAACCCGAUGCAAACUGCGAAUACCGGAGAAUGUUAUCACGGGAGACACACGGCGGGUGCUAACGUCCGUCGUGAAGAGGGAAACAACCCAGACCGCCAGCUAAGGUCCCAAAGUCAUGGUUAAGUGGGAAACGAUGUGGGAAGGCCCAGACAGCCAGGAUGUUGGCUUAGAAGCAGCCAUCAUUUAAAGAAAGCGUAAUAGCUCACUGGUCGAGUCGGCCUGCGCGGAAGAUGUAACGGGGCUAAACCAUGCACCGAAGCUGCGGCAGCGACGCUGAUGCGUUGUUGGGUAGGGGAGCGUUCUGUAAGCCUGUGAAGGUGGCCUGUGAGGGUUGCUGGAGGUAUCAGAAGUGCGAAUGCUGACAUAAGUAACGAUAAAGCGGGUGAAAAGCCCGCUCGCCGGAAGACCAAGGGUUCCUGUCCAACGUUAAUCGGGGCAGGGUGAGUCGACCCCUAAGGCGAGGCCGAAAGGCGUAGUCGAUGGGAAACGGGUUAAUAUUCCCGUACUUGGUGUUACUGCGAAGGGGGGACGGAGAAGGCUAUGUUGGCCGGGCGACGGUUGUCCCGGUUUAAGCGUGUAGGUGUGUGUUCCAGGUAAAUCCGGUUCACUUUAACACUGAGGCGUGAUGACGAGGCACUACGGUGCUGAAGCAACAAAUGCCCUGCUUCCAGGAAAAGCCUCUAAGCAUCAGGUAACAUCAAAUCGUACCCCAAACCGACACAGGUGGUCAGGUAGAGAAUACCAAGGCGCUUGAGAGAACUCGGGUGAAGGAACUAGGCAAAAUGGUGCCGUAACUUCGGGAGAAGGCACGCUGACACGUAGGUGAAGUGAUUUACUCAUGGAGCUGAAGUCAGUCGAAGAUACCAGCUGGCUGCAACUGUUUAUUAAAAACACAGCACUGUGCAAACACGAAAGUGGACGUAUACGGUGUGACGCCUGCCCGGUGCCGGAAGGUUAAUUGAUGGGGUCAGCGCAAGCGAAGCUCCUGAUCGAAGCCCCGGUAAACGGCGGCCGUAACUAUAACGGUCCUAAGGUAGCGAAAUUCCUUGUCGGGUAAGUUCCGACCUGCACGAAUGGCGUAAUGAUGGCCAGGCUGUCUCCACCCGAGACUCAGUGAAAUUGAACUCGCUGUGAAGAUGCAGUGUACCCGCGGCAAGACGGAAAGACCCCGUGAACCUUUACUAUAGCUUGACACUGAACAUUGAGCCUUGAUGUGUAGGAUAGGUGGGAGGCUUUGAAGUGUGGACGCCAGUCUGCAUGGAGCCGGCCUUGAAAUACCACCCUUUAAUGUUUGAUGUUCUAACGUGGACCCGUGAUCCGGGUUGCGGACAGUGUCUGGUGGGUAGUUUGACUGGGGCGGUCUCCUCCUAAAGAGUAACGGAGGAGCACGAAGGUUGGCUAAUCCUGGUCGGACAUCAGGAGGUUAGUGCAAUGGCAUAAGCCAGCUUGACUGCGAGCGUGACGGCGCGAGCAGGUGCGAAAGCAGGUCAUAGUGAUCCGGUGGUUCUGAAUGGAAGGGCCAUCGCUCAACGGAUAAAAGGUACUCCGGGGAUAACAGGCUGAUACCGCCCAAGAGUUCAUAUCGACGGCGGUGUUUGGCACCUCGAUGUCGGCUCAUCACAUCCUGGGGCUGAAGUAGGUCCCAAGGGUAUGGCUGUUCGCCAUUUAAAGUGGUACGCGAGCUGGGUUUAGAACGUCGUGAGACAGUUCGGUCCCUAUCUGCCGUGGGCGCUGGAGAACUGAGGGGGGCUGCUCCUAGUACGAGAGGACCGGAGUGGACGCAUCACUGGUGUUCGGGUUGUCAUGCCAAUGGCACUGCCCGGUAGCUAAAUGCGGAAGAGAUAAGUGCUGAAAGCAUCUAAGCACGAAACUUGCCCCGAGAUGAGUUCUCCCUGAGACUUAGAGUCUCCUGAAGGAACGUUGAAGACGACGACGUUGAUAGGCCGGGUGUGUAAGCGCAGCGAUGCGUUGAGCUAACCGGUACUAAUGAACCGUGAGGCUUAACCUU
rnacentral:rRNA from 1 species